AUGAGGACAGUCGGACACAGGGAAGAAGGGGCUCCACCAGCAGCACCCAGCGAGCACCCGGCAUGCCUGGGAUUCGAGUGCAGGCCUGUCUGAUUCUGUAGGGAGGAGAAAAUCUUCUUUCCUCUACCCCUCUAGGUUCUCUGGCUGGGGCUCUGAAAGAGACUGACAAAGGCAGAUUAACGAGAGAAAAACAGACACGAGUUUAUUACCACGUGCAUCACGCACACCCAUGGGAACGUCCGCACUUUGUCCCAGGAAUGGGGUCUGUAAUUCAGGGACCUGUAGAAGUUCACAGUGUGAGAGGAAUGAAGUGUCCAAUCUGCAAUCUGAAUCUUCCCUAUGAAAUUUCCACCUGGUGCCCUCCAGCGCAGAUUCUCGCACCCACAGUCCUGCCUUACAGGGCAGACCAUUUCCUCUCUGACAGUACUACCUGUCUGAAUGUUCUGCUUCAAACUGAGUCAAGAUAUGUGAACCCUGGGUAGAAGAAUUAUCAGGUCUGGAGGGAGCACAAGCAAACUAUCCCAUUUUAUGGACGUGGAAACCGAGGCCUGAGGGAGAGACGCACCAGGAAUCAGGAGAUCUGGCUCUGAUCAGCUGUACAAAUUGAGAAUUGUGACCUGACCUUGUCCAACCCAAGUGGCCCAACUCCUAAUUCUGUGAGUGACAUGUCUCUGUUACUUUGGAAUAUUGAUUGAAGAAAAAUCACAAGAGUUUCUAUCUUAUGGCCUCUUUGAAUCUUUGAGAAUUGGCAAAACCCAAAGUCAGAUGCCAUUAAGAACAUUCAUGAUUCAUGAGAGGAGAUCAAAAUAUCAACAUAAACAGGAGUUUGAAAGAAGUUGAUUUCAACCCUUGUGGAUGACUAUGAGAGAUUCAAGGCUUCAGUGGAGAAUGCACCUACAGAUAUGGUGGAAACAGCAAAAGAAAUAGAAUCAGAAGUGGAGCCUGAAGAUUAAACUGAAUUGCUGCAAUCUCAUGAUAAAACUUGAACAGAUGAGGAGUUGCUUCUUACAGGUUCCUGGGCAGUGCAGUGGGAUGUCUGCUUGGUUUCUGCUGAUCCUCACAGAGCCUGGUGACUUCUUCCUCCCAGGUCUGUGGAUCAACACUGUCUCCCUGGCCUCUACCCAGCGCGCAGGACCCCUUAGCAGAGCAGGAGAACUCAGGAUCCAGCCAGCUGCCGGCACACUUUCGUCCUCCUCCGCACACGAGGAUCCCCAGGCCCAGCGGUGUUAGCCCAGAGAGGAGCGGCGUUUGGGAUGUGAUCCACAGCUGAUCCCUCGUGGCCCCUCCUCUCCCGAAUCCUGAAACAUGAGGAGGCCCUUCAGCUGCUGGCUCGGAGUCCGACUAUGGGAACUUUCUCCGGUCUACGGGGGCAGCAAGGGUCUCGCCUCAGGGACUUGGUUUAUUUAUCUAGCUGGACUCCAUCCCUUAAUAUCCUACUUACAGAGGAAGAGGCUUUAGCAGCUAAAUGCAGCCCCAUCCCCUCCUGUGGAGACUGUGAGCAGAAAAAGAACAGAUAUUUACAGAGGCCCGAGCCCCCCUUGUUGUUUUCUGCAAGGCUGUCGAGCUGGUGGAGCUUCAGGAUCCUGGUCAGGAACCCCGAACCCAGCGCUGGAGGCCCUGAAGAUCAGGGCACCCGACCCUCUUCCCAGCCGCCAAAGGCCUGUGUUGGUCUGAUUGUGGAUUCCAAGCUCUAAUUUCCAUCCAUCCUCCCAAUCCGAAUUCCCUUUGCAGACAUAAACACCAUCAGCAAUGUAGAGAAUGUGUUUCCUCAUCUUUGAAUAUUAACACUCAUCUGUUUAAUUGAGCUACUUUUUACAUACAUGUAAGAUGUGCUGCAAUUGCAAAAGAAACAUGUGCUUCGUGUUCUAUAAGCCAUAUCUUCCGCAAGACCUGCCAUCAAAUGAUUGCUCAAACAUUUGUUGAAUGGGAUGAGCAAUGGAGGUUCAGACAGGUGCCCUGACCUACCCAGGCUGGAGGGUAGGGAGCUAGAAAUUCAUACAACCAUGCCUUGUUCUACUUGUUUUGUGAAAGAAUCAUGUGACCAGUGACAAAGAGGCUGGGCAGCUGGGUCAGGCAGCAGGGACAGCGACUGAGCUGGGGGGACUACAGUGCUGUGCUCCUCUGCACCCGUGCUGGGAUGUCUGAGGCCAAGCUGACACUGGCCCCCCACAAUCCCUUGGGGCUGCUCCUCCUCAGGGAGUGGCUCUCCGGGUUUCCUGCUUGACUCCUGCUGCUCUUGUGUUGAAGGGCCGUCUCUGGGCAGCUCCCCCUGGCCCCUGGCCAGAGAGCCAGGCCCUGUCAGGCACGCACAUGGAGGAUGAGGGAGGUGCAGUUGUUUUCACAGGUGCAGACUCUAGAGGGACCCCACGUGGACUCUGUGGCUUCUGCCCCGACGCACUCGCGGGAGGACACAGCUCUGCCCGGAAGGGAGAGUGCUGAGCUGGGUCCCUGCUGCUCAUCUCUGUGGCAUCACCCUGUCAGUCCUUCCCUGUCACACAUAUGUUCCGCAAGACCUGCCGUCAAAUAUUUGCUCAGUCAAACAUUUGUUGAAUGGGAUGAGCCAUGGAGGUUCAGACAGAUGCCGUGACCUGAAGUGUCAAAUGAAGGGAUGCGUGUGUGAUGGCCUUCACCAUUUAUAUUGUUUUAAACUUGCUA
ensembl:lncRNA TMEM72-AS1 TMEM72 antisense RNA 1